rnacentral:rRNA from 9 species
GAAACAGUUGCUAAGACUGGAUAGGAAAUAAAAAGGCAUCUUUUUAUUUUUAAAAGACCUUUUUCGGAAGGUAUGCUUAAAGAGGGGCUUGCGUCACAUUAGUUAGUUGGCAGGGUAAAGGCCUACCAAGACUAUGAUGUGUAGCUGGACUGAGAGGUUGAACAGCCACAUUGGGACUGAGACACGGCCCAAACUCCUACGGGAGGCAGCAGUAGGGAAUUUUCGGCAAUGGAGGAAACUCUGACCGAGCAACGCCGCGUGAACGAUGAAGUAUUUCGGUAUGUAAAGUUCUUUUAUUGAAGAAGAAAAAAUAGUGGAAAAACUAUCUUGACGAUAUUCAAUGAAUAAGCCCCGGCAAACUAUGUGCCAGCAGCCGCGGUAAUACAUAGGGGGCGAGCGUUAUCCGGAAUUAUUGGGCGUAAAGGGUGCGUAGGCGGUUUAAUAAGUCUAUAGUUUAAUUUCAGUGCUUAACACUGUCCUGCUAUAGAAACUAUUAGACUAGAGUGAGAUAGAGGCAAGUGGAAUUCCAUGUGUAGCGGUAAAAUGCGUAAAUAUAUGGAGGAACACCAGAGGCGUAGGCGGCUUGCUGGGUCUUUACUGACGCUGAGGCACGAAAGCGUGGGGAGCAAACAGGAUUAGAUACCCUGGUAGUCCACGCCGUAAACGAUGAGUACUAAGUGUCGGGAUUACUCGGUACUGAAGUUAACACAUUAAGUACUCCGCCUGAGUAGUACGUACGCAAGUAUGAAACUUAAAGGAAUUGACGGGACUCCGCACAAGCGGUGGAUCAUGUUGUUUAAUUCGAAGAUACACGAAAAACCUUACCAGGUCUUGACAUACUCUGCAAAGCUAUAGCAAUAUAGUGGAGGUUAUCAGGGAUACAGGUGGUGCAUGGUUGUCGUCAGCUCGUGUCGUGAGAUGUUAGGUUAAGUCCUAAAACGAGCGCAACCCUUGUCAUUAGUUGCCAGCAUGUCACGAUGGGCACUUUAAUGAGACUGCCAAUGAAAAAUUGGAGGAAGGUGAGGAUCACGUCAAAUCAUCAUGCCCCUUAUGAUCUGGGCUACAAACGUGAUACAAUGGCUGUUACAAAGAGUAGCUGAAACGCAAGUUUAUAGCCAAUCUCAUAAAAGCAGUCUCAGUUCGGAUUGAAGUCUGCAACUCGACUUCAUGAAGUUGGAAUCGCUAGUAAUCGCGAAUCAGCAUGUCGCGGUGAAUACGUUCUCGGGGUUUGUACACACCGCCCGU